UCCGUAGGUGAACCUGCGGAAGGAUCAUUACCGAGUGCGGGUCCUUUGGGCCCAACCUCCCAUCCGUGUCUAUUGUACCCUGUUGCUUCGGCGGGCCCGCCGCUUGUCGGCCGCCGGGGGGGCGCCUCUGCCCCCCGGGCCCGUGCCCGCCGGAGACCCCAACACGAACACUGUCUGAAAGCGUGCAGUCUGAGUUGAUUGAAUGCAAUCAGUUAAAACUUUCAACAAUGGAUCUCUUGGUUCCGGCAUCGAUGAAGAACGCAGCGAAAUGCGAUAACUAAUGUGAAUUGCAGAAUUCAGUGAAUCAUCGAGUCUUUGAACGCACAUUGCGCCCCCUGGUAUUCCGGGGGGCAUGCCUGUCCGAGCGUCAUUGCUGCCCUCAAGCCCGGCUUGUGUGUUGGGUCGCCGUCCCCCUCUCCGGGGGGACGGGCCCGAAAGGCAGCGGCGGCACCGCGUCCGAUCCUCGAGCGUAUGGGGCUUUGUCACAUGCUCUGUAGGAUUGGCCGGCGCCUGCCGACGUUUUCCAACCAUUCUUUCCAGGUUGACCUCGGAUCAGGUAGGGAUACCCGCUGAACUUAAGCAUAUCAAUAAGCGGAGGAA
rnacentral:rRNA from 1 species